UGGAUAACAUAAGGGAAAAUAAUGAUAUUACCUUAUUAUUAGUGUCGUCCAAAACUGGUGCCAGAAGACUCGGUAAGGCCAGAGACACAAACGUUAAUCGUCUUAAUCAGGCGUAAAGGGUUUGUAGGCGGCUUUUAAUUUACUUAUAUAUAUUUAAAAAUAAGUUAAGAAUAAAAGCUAGAAUCAAAUAGAGGAUAUAUCAAAUAAUGCUUAGAGUAGGUCUGAUAUCCUUAGAUACUAAGUAGAAUAUUAAAGGCGAAAGCUUUUUUCCAUAAAUGAUUGACGCUCAGAAACGAAGGUGAGGAUAGAAAAUAGGAUUAGAUACCCAAAAUAUCCCUCUCUGUCAACGAUGAAUGGUAAUUAUUAAUAAUAAAUUUAUUAUUAAUGGCAAUGUUAACACGAUAACCAUUCCGCCUUGUGAGUACAACUGCAAAGUUGAAAACAAAAAAAUUAGUCGGUUUCGGAGCAAACGAAGUGAAGCAUGUUAUUUAAUUCGAUUAAUCCGCC
rnacentral:rRNA from 1 species